AUGGGUGGUGGCCCUAAGCGAGGGAUAGAUGUGGCGGACUAUGCUCUAAUUGAGUAUGACAUGAGGAUUAAGAGAGGCAGACAAGAAAGAGAUGACCUACAACUGAUCGAUGGAGCAAUAUCCUUAGGCCCCCACGGGACAUGGGAUCGGCCGUUCACAUAUAACAUCUCUAACGAUUGUGGCGGUGCUGUUGACAUAACUUUAGCACGUCUUUCUUGCGCGGUCGAGGCGACCGUAGAGGUUCUCAUAUCGGAAGUGCAGAGCGGUUUCCAUAUGUCCCUCAGAUGUUUUACUAGUGGGUUUGAUACGGAGGUCCGGCUCUUUGAUGGCGCUGUUGUCAAGUCUUGCGGCUUGAAGAGGUCCGUGGUUGCCGUAGUGGAGUGGUCUUUCAUACGUUUGAAAUUCAAGGUACACACACCGUCAUCCGGUUCCGGGUCUAAACGUCGUUGUACCUUCAAGGCCAAGACACAUGGGUAUAAUACCCGAGAGAUAAAAACCGAUUUUGCGUUGAUCUCGGUGAAGGUGACUUGGUCUACGUUGCCCGGUUGCUUUCCUGGCUAA
rnacentral:rRNA from 1 species